CCAGAGAACUUUCCAGAGAUGGAUUGGUGCCUUCGGGAACUCUGAGACAGGUGCUGCAUGGCUGUCGUCAGCUCGUGUUGUGAAAUGUUGGGUUAAGUCCCGCAACGAGCGCAACCCUUUAUCCUUUGUUGCCAGCGGUUAGGCCGGAACUCAAAGGAGACUGCCAGUGAUAAACUGGAGGAAGGUGGGGAUGACGUCAAGUCAUCAUGGCCCUUACGAGUAGGGCUACACACGUGCUACAAUGGCGCAUACAAAGAGAAGCGACCUCGCGAGAGCAAGCGGACCUCAUAAAGUGCGUCGUAGUCCGGAUUGGAGUCUGCAACUCGACUCCAUGAAGUCGGAAUCGCUAGUAAUCGUGGAUCAGAAUGCCACGGUGAAUACGUUCCCGGGCCUUGUACACACCGCCCGUCACACCAUGGGAGUGGGUUGCAAAGAAGUAGGUAGCCUUAACCUUCGGGAGGGCGCUUACCACUUUGUGAUUACAUGACUGGGGUGAAGUCGUAACAAGGUAGGCGUAGUGCU
rnacentral:rRNA from 1 species